UGGUCCUGGAGACAGUCCAGAGGGGGUUUACAAGAAUGAUCCCAAGACUGAGUUGGUGAACCUAUGAUGAGGGUUUGACGGCACUGGGCCUAUACUCGCUGGAGUUUACAAGAAUGAGGGGGGGACCUCAUCGAAACAUACAGAAUAGUGAAAGGCUUGGACAGAGUGGAUGUG